CUUUGAAGAUACUUGUAGGGGCGUUUGUGAACCCCGCCAGGUCCGGAAGGAAGCAACGGUAGCAAAUUAGCCCCCAGCAGGUAACCUUUAUUGGUG
rnacentral:SRP_RNA from 1 species